UCAUCCCACCCUCCCCUUCCCCCCGUGUCCACAUGUCUGUUCUCUACGUCUGCCUUUCUAUUCCUGCCCAGCAAAUAGGUUCAUCUGUACCAUUUUUCUAGAUUCCUCAUAUAUGCGUUAACAUACAAUAUUUGUUUAGUGAAAAUUCUUUUGCUGCUUAUAUCCACCUGUUUAUGUGAGCCUGGGUUCUUUAUGUAUUUUGGCACCAGAUUGAGAAGUUUCCUGGUCACCAAUCCAGGAUGAUAUGCAAGGUGUUGUGGUCACUCCACAGAAGUAUGCUGGACCCUCCUCCACCCCAAAUCGGUUUGCUGUCAAGACUGAUGAUGCCACAUAUGCACCGAGAGGCAUCUGGAGGGGUGUGCAGGCAUAGCUCCUUUCCAGAAAGAAAGAGUAAAGUGAUUAUUACCCAACUGUGAAUACACAUGGUGUCACCUGUCACUUUGUACCCACGCGCCUAGCCCAGAUGAAGAAACCGAGGCCCAGAAGGUGGCAUGCGUUGCCCACAGUCAAGUAAGGGAGUGGAAGAUUCCUGACUGGAACCAGGCUGACUUUUUUGUUUGUUUGUUUCUGUGUAAAACCUGACAUUGCUAUUAAAAACCAUAAAGAACUACUGAAAAGUACAUAGAAGGAAGAAAAUGAUCACCCCAAA